AUGUCUAUUUCAUUGAUGGCAGGUGUGCUACCUAAAUAUUUCCACUCGGAGUGGUCUGUUGCUCAAUUCAGGCUCCAUGAGGGUGAGCAAUACAUCGUCGCAUUUGGCCAUGAGAAGAAUACCGUGGCAGUUGUUGGCAUGGACGGAAGCUUCUACCGGUGCCAGUUUGACCCAGUCAAUGGAGGAGAAAUGCAGCAGCUGGAAUGCCACAAUUUCCUAAAACCAUCAGAUCAACCGUAG
rnacentral:rRNA from 1 species